rnacentral:rRNA from 1 species
CCUACGGGGGGCUGCAGUGGGGAAUAUUGGGCAAUGGGCGAAAGCCUGACCCAGCGACGCCGCGUGAAGGAUGAAGGUCUUCGGAUUGUAAACUUCUUUGAUCAGGGAAGAAAGAAAUGACGGUACCUGAAAAACAAGCCACGGCUAACUACGUGCCAGCAGCCGCGGUAAUACGUAGGUGGCAAGCGUUGUCCGGAUUUACUGGGUGUAAAGGGCGUGUAGGCGGGGAUGCAAGUCAGAUGUGAAAUCCCGCGGCUCAACCGCGGAACUGCAUCUGAAACUGCGUCUCUUGAGUGUCGGAAGGGAAAGUGGAAUUCCUAGUGUAGCGGUGAAAUGCGUAGAUAUUAGGAGGAACACCGGUGGCGAAGGCGACUUUCUGGACGAUAACUGACGCUGAGACGCGAAAGCGUGGGGAGCAAACAGGCUUAGAUACCCCAGUAGUC